rnacentral:tRNA from 1 species
GCGCCCGUAGCUCAGCUGGAUAGAGCGGCGGUUUCCUAAACCGCAGGACGGAGGUUCGAGUCCCCCCGGGCGCG